AGUGCUUCUUGCCUCUGAUUGAAGGGCUGUGUGCAUUUUAAUUGGGCAUGUAGCCAAUAAGAAGAUAGAUCUCAAUGCCAGCACAGUGGGAAAAUCCUGAUGUUCUCUUUGAAGUCUCCAUCAGAACUGCUGAUUCAUUUCUCCAUCCCAACUAAAAGCAUGCAGCCAGAGAAGCAGCGAAAUUGAAAGCAGUCGACAUGAACAAACAUAAUUUGUCCUGGACAAAGCUCCAAUAAUCAAAACGAAAAAAAAUAAACUGGUGGCAGAUGAUGUCGCACUUUAGGACUGAGGCCAGGCUACGACAUUAUUAAAGACUGCAGCUUCAAAAGCAGGAUCCUACUUCUUCACAAAAGACAGGAACAGUUGGACUGUGAACUGUAAUGCUGGGAAUAGAGAAACCUCUGCCAUUGCUGAUUCCUGUAGAUGUCAUAAGCAGUCUAGUUCUACUCAGUCGGUGUACAGUAGGGCUCUGGUCACACCCAGGAUCUGAGUACUGAAAUAUAGCCAGAGCCUGACUGGUGAGAAGCUACACUGUUGAAGUAUUAUUAGCACUCCUUGCCCCUGAUUAAACUGAGCAUGGAUUAAGAACUAAGAAGCAGAGUGGUCUGAAUUCCAGGAAUGGUAGCAAAUCCUGUCUAUCUCUUAGAUCUGUCCAUCAGAACUGUUGAUUCAUUCUUCCUUCCUACAUGAAUGUGUCUUCAGCAGAAGCAGAGACAUUGAAAGUGGAUGAGAGCAGAAAAAUAUGAUUUACCCUUGUCUCUCACUACAAUUAUCAAAAGGAAAAAAAGGUGGCAAGUACUGGAUGAUCAUAUAUCUGGCUGCUUGGGUAAACACCAUGGCUAUCUAUGUGAAAGAUUCCAUUUCUGUUCAGAGCAAGCUGCUUUUGAUUAUAGACAGCCAAUAGCUGCUUGCUGCUAUCAUUUUCUGAUAUGUUGUGUCAAAUUCUCCAAGUGCAAUGCUAAAUGCUUGAAUUUAAAUAGUUUUUCUUGGCUUUUUUGGACAAACAUGAUAUUCACACUCUGAUUAUUAUAGCUGUCACCCUUAGGAAAAUAUUCAACUUGCAUCACAGACAGAAUCUUACGGAAUUUGCCAAAUUCAAUCUUCAAAGAACUACUGACAGUGUUAUAUGGAACCCCAACUGAUCAUUCCAGGAAACUUACCAUCAUUCCAAAACUGUGACAACAUUGCAGAAAUGUGCAAACAGAUUAUAAGAUUCAGAGAAAAAGGGAU
rnacentral:lncRNA from 1 species